CUUUCUUUACAGCCUUGAUCACUGAUGACCUCACAGAUGCCAUUCUCUGUGCCAAGAAAAUUGUUAAAGAGACACAAGGGAUGAACUAUUGGUAACACAUCUAUUUAAGCUUAUCAUCCUAUGAGAUCAACAGAGAGAAGGAAAGAAGCUAUUAUGUACACUUAAGGUCUGCAAUGUUCUCUGAAGGUUCAUGUGGUGAAAGGUUGCCUCCCAGCUGAUGGUGCUAUUUCAAGUGUUAGAAAUGUCAGAAGGUGACUUCUCAAAGGUUCUGCAAAAACUUCUCAGGUACAACCACAUGCUGCUUGAGAUAAUAAAUGACCGACUCACCUCUAGGAAAAAAAGAAGCAAAUCCUGACAGGAAGAGAGCCAUAUGAAACUGUGGUUGGGUUUAUUUAAAGACAUCUCUGCAACUGUAAUUUCCAAGCUAUAGGGAAUAAAUAAUCAACUAAAUAAAACCA
rnacentral:lncRNA from 1 species